rnacentral:tRNA from 2 species
UAAUAAGAAGCAAAAUUCUGCAUCUAAUUUCGACUUAGAAAUAUGUCCAUAAAGGUCCUUAUUUU